UACCGCAGCUCCGUGAAUAAGUUUUACUCAAAGCAAAAACCCAACCUUUAUUGCGAGAAAAAUGGAGUUCUUAAAGUCUUCGUUUCUUUUUCCACAAGUGGAAUUCCAAUUCAAACAACGCGUAACGGAAAUUCAUGACCAAAAGCCUCACCAGGAGUCCCUAUAAAUAUGCUUCAAUUUGUGUCCAGGAAUUUAAUCAUCACCUUAAAACAACAUCUAUUUAGAUUGAAAAAAUAAAAAACUGUAAGCAAUGGCAAGUUAUUACUCUCCAAGGUUUUCUCUUCUUGCAUUGUUCCUCAUCGCUAUCGUUCUCUCUCCGGCGUUACCCUGUGACGCAGCUAACUCGACCCCUCGAGAGCCAAAGAACAGACCUUAUUGUCCUGCUUGCAAUUGUUGUAAGGUUGAACCACCGCCACCAUGUUGCUACUGCGCCUGUUUUGUCACUACCAGUCAACCUAAUAACGCGUCACCAUGACCUGAAGAUGGUCGUUCGAAAUAAGAAUCCUCCGAAUGAGAACGAAAAAGUGAGAGGAUAAUAAUUAAUCAAAUAGAAGGAGAGUACGUUGUUUGGUUUUAAAUCAGGAUCAUCUUCCAUGUAAAUAUAUAUGUUUGCAUGUCAUCCAAUAAAGCAUGUCCUUUUAAGGAGGGUUCAUGAGAGAGAGAGAUGAAAAGUUGGGUUUUUUCUGUUUGUUUGUUUUGUACCAGGGUUAUGUUUAUAACCGUCAGAUUCUCGAGAAAAUGAAUUCUAGUACUAUUGCAAGUUUGGAACCAUUUGAAAGUCAAUUUU